rnacentral:hammerhead_ribozyme from 1 species
AUCCAGAUGACGAGUGCCAACUAGGACGAAAUGCGCGUUAUCCUGGAU